CGUACACUCCUACGGGAGGCAGCAGUGGGGAAUUUUGGACAAUGGGCGAAAGCCUGAUCCAGCCAUGCCGCGCGCAGGAUGAAGGCCUUCGGGUUGUAAACUGCUUUUGUACGGAACGAAACGGCCUUUUCUAAUAAAGAGGGCUAAUGACGGUACCGUAAGAAUAAGCACCGGCUAACUACGUGCCAGCAGCCGCGGUAAUACGUAGGGUGCAAGCGUUAAUCGGAAUUACUGGGCGUAAAGCGUGCGCAGGCGGUUAUGUAAGACAGUUGUGAAAUCCCCGGGCUCAACCUGGGAACUGCAUCUGUGACUGCAUAGCUAGAGUACGGUAGAGGGGGAUGGAAUUCCGCGUGUAGCAGUGAAAUGCGUAGAUAUGCGGAGGAACACCGAUGGCGAAGGCAAUCCCCUGGACCUGUACUGACGCUCAUGCACGAAAGCGUGGGGAGCAAACAGGAUUAGAUACCCGUGUAGUCC
rnacentral:rRNA from 1 species